rnacentral:rRNA from 1 species
CAAGUAGCGUGCAGGAAGACGGCCCUAUGGGUUGUAAACUGCUUUUAUAAGGGAAUAAAGUGAGUCUCGUGAGACUUUUUGCAUGUACCUUAUGAAUAAGGACCGGCUAAUUCCGUGCCAGCAGCCGCGGUAAUACGGAAGGUCCGGGCGUUAUCCGGAUUUAUUGGGUUUAAAGGGAGCGUAGGCCGGAAAUUAAGCGUGUUGUGAAAUGUAGACGCUCAACGUCUGCACUGCAGCGCGAACUGGUUUCCUUGAGUACGCACAAAGUGGGCGGAAUUCGUGGUGUAGCGGUGAAAUGCUUAGAUAUCACGAAGAACUCCGAUUGCGAAGGCAGCUCACUGGAGCGCAACUGACGCUGAAGCUCGAAAGUGCGGGUAUCGAACAGGAUUAGAUACCCUGGUAGUCCGCACGGUAAACGAUGGAUGCCCGCUGUUGGUCUGAAUAGGUCAGCGGCCAAGCGAAAGCAUUAAGCAUCCCACCUGGGGAGUACGCCGGCAACGGUGCAACUCAAAGGAAUUGACGGA